UACAGAGGUCUCAAGCGUUGUUCGGAUUCAUUGGGCGUAAAGGGUGCGUAGGUGGCGGGGUAAGUCAGGUGUGAAAUUUCGGAGCUUAACUCCGAAACUGCAUUUGAUACUGCCUUGCUUGAGGACUGGAGAGGAGACUGGAAUUCACGGUGUAGCAGUGAAAUGCGUAGAGAUCGUGAGGAAGACCAGUGGCGAAGGCGGGUCUCUGGGCAGUAACUGACGCUGAGGAGCGAAAGCGUGGGGAGCGAACAGG
rnacentral:rRNA from 1 species